UUAAUUGGAUGACAUUUUAAAACAGAAAUGAUACUUGAAACAAAUUGGCUGUGGAUCGAGUGAGUUGAUGGAUCGGAUGGCCAUCCGUUCGGAUGGCCAUCCGAUCGGUGAUCAUCUACAU
rfam:Helianthus annuus linkage group 1, whole genome shotgun sequence.